rnacentral:lncRNA from 1 species
GUAGGUGGGGCCACAAGCAUGCACUGCCAUGCCUGGCUAAUUUUUGUAUUUUUUGUAGAGAUGAGGUUUCAUCAUGUUGCCCAGACUGGUCUCGAACUCCUGGGCUCACAUGAUCCUCCCGCCUUGACCUCCCAAAGUGUUAGGAUUACAGGCGUGACCCACCACACCCAGCCUAAAGAGUCAUAAUUUUAAUGGUUACAUAAUGUUCUGUCUUGUCAAUGCACAGUAGUUCACCAACCAUUUCCUUAUUUGAGAUAUUUAUAUUGCUUCUAAAUUUCAGAUAUUGAAAUAACUUUUUGAUAAAUAUACUUGUGGAGGUUUUUAUGUUAAAUAUAGCCUUAGCAGAAACCCCACGGGUGCAAUUACUAAGUCAGAGGGUGUGUCUUUGCCCUGCAACACACAAAGCUUUCCCUUUGAUGACGAUUGUUUACUUAAAGCCCUGGGGACUCCCAAAUGCCUGGGAAUCUUCAUUUUAGACUUAACCUAUUUUAGGCUUGGUUUUGUUUUACUGCAUUCUCAGGAGAGCAAAGGAGACAGCUGGGAGCAGAUGGGCAAAUCCCAGUUUGCCCAAAGAAAUGUCUAUUUUCCAAGGGGCAUGAAGAAUUUAGGAAUAAAGCAGAUCUGAUUUCUAAUUCUGACUUUGCUACUGGCAAAUUGUGUGGACUCAGGAAAGUGACCGGCCCUCUUUAAGACUCAGUGUGCUUACCUCUGAAAUGGAGCUGUCAAUCACAUCUGCCUCACAGGCUUGUUCUGAGGAUGAAGUGAGAAAAUGCCCACGAGGUGCUGGUUGCAGCAGCUGGUGCAUAGAGCUUAAAAAGGAUGCAGUCCCAAAACAUAGAAGGAUUUACUCCAGAUCCAAGCAAUGAGUCAGGAACAGAAAGCCUGAUGCCCUCACCUGGAACUCUCCCUCCUCCCUGGAUGAGGACCUUCCCCAGAAUUGCAGGGCACCCACACAAGACCAAGCAAGUUCAGAGAAAAUUGAAACCUGACUUUAGAGCCUCUGGGAUGUUCACUACACCUCAUUGAACCUGUUUGGUUCACAGAGCUCCAACUACCGUCUACUUCCUGCAACUGGCCUGCUGCCAACUCCCCAGAUCUCUUGUGGAGCUGCCGGAAGAGACAGCCUGCCACAGAAGAAAGCAGCCCUCCUCUUUCAUGGCCUCCCACAUCUUGAAACAAACACAAGCAAACAAAACAAAAGCUUGAGUCCCAGCCUGAUUCACCAGGUUUGGUUCCCAAUUGUUGAAAUUCCCUUCCCAGGGCUCUCAGAACCAGGGUUGGCUGGAGGGGUGAAAGAGGCUGGCCCUGAGCCCAGUAAUAGGACACCAAGGGGGAGCUAAAAGCUGGGAUCUGGGGUGAAGAUGGGGUCUUCCAAGCUGGGAGGCAGACACCAGGCCAGAGCAACCGGCCUGCCCCAGCUCAGGCCUCUUAACCCAUGCAGGGCAAGAGUAUAAACAGAGGCCACGGACCACAUGCCUCAGUAUUUAAACUUAUAAAUCAAGCUAACAUAACAUGAAAUCAAAUAUGUUCUAUCCUCCUAGCUUGACAAAUACUUUCAUAACGAGAUGGAAUGCCAGGUUCAGAUUUAGAAUUUUCACACUCCUUAAAGUUCCAAGUCAAAAUACAGCAUUAGGGGAGGGCCCCCAACCUCGAGGUCUCCCCUCCCCCAUUUUCUUUCACUCCCAGCUCUGUCUCACACCACGAGGGAUCUUGGGUGAAUGCCCCUCGAUACCCCAGCCCCCCACAAACAGCUGCCCUUUCCCCCCUUGGCCAAGGGUAAGCACAGCAGCAGGGCAGUCUGCCCUUGGCUGGAGAGAUGGAAGGAGAGGCCACACGGGCCCUGAAAAUGCAUUUGGGGACUCUUGGGCAGGAAACUUGGGAGUUUCUGGAGCCUCAAGGAGGGUCUAGUGGGACAGAGCCACUUGGGCCCAUGAGAUCCUUGACCCAUGGAGAAGGGUAGGGCUAGAGGAGGGCCAGGGCAGGCCCUAUGAACAGAAGAACCUAGAGUAACUGCCCUGUCCCCAGAUCCUGUCACCGAGCAGGUAUACUUGGGAGGGUAUUGGAGGGUGGAACCCAAGGGAGCUUGCCCAAGGCACUAGGAAAGAAAAGUGUAAACCUUGUUAGAGAAUGCUAAGGAUAGCUGUUAAAGCCUCAGAGAUUUUACUCAUUUUUGGCUGUUUCUAAAAAUCUUCCCCCAAAGGAAGAUCUUGCUCUCAUUGAGGAUCUGAGAAAGAAUUCUCUCCAAGUAGUUUCAAAACAUUCUGAUGUAAAAACUCUGGUGUGUUAGUCAAAAAUAAAUUUUGUUGCUUGAUGGCUUCACCAUUCACAAAAUAUUCUAUCCAUCCAAUUUAAAAAUAAGAGCAGGGUAUUUAAAACUCUUUCAAUAAACACAAAUUAAAACAAUGAAGCUUG